rnacentral:tRNA from 1 species
GCGCAAGUGGCGAAAUUGGUAGACGCGCUGUCUUCAGGCGGCAGUUCCGCAAGGUGUGAAGGUUCGAGUCCUUUCUUGCGCACAA